rnacentral:lncRNA from 1 species
UUUAAUUCCAUUUAUGAUUUGUUUUAAAGUAUAGAAACUUGAUACCUCCCUGCAAGCUGAGGGAGCAGGCUCCGGCCUUGGCCAGCCCAGAAAGGGGAUCCCACAAUGCAGCGGUGGGCUGAAGUGUUCCUCAAGUGCCGCCAAAGUGGGAGCCCAGGCAGAGGAGGCGCCGAGAGCGAGUGAGGGCUGUGAGGACUGCCAGCACGCUGUCACCUCUCAACACUGCGGUGCUGAUAAUGACACUUCCUGAUAAUUAGGAAUGUGGAGCCAAGAUGGCCGAAUAGGAACAGCUCCGGUCUACAGCUCCCAGCGUGAGCGACGCAGAAGAUGGGUGAUUUCUGCAUUUCCAUCUGAGGUUUUUCCCAUGGUGUUCCCUUUCCAAUGUCUUUCUGGAAGUCACACAUUGACCACUAACAACAGGAGAGAGGACAAAGAAAGGCAGCAAAAGACUAUUUCCAAUGCGAAAUAUGAUCAGUGUGCCCCAAGGAAGCCAAAAGAUUGGACACCCCUGGAAACUCAUCAGUCAGAGGAGAUGUUUCCUAUGUAGGAACCACAUGUGCAAAAAUGGCAAAAGAAAGAGAGGAGCAAGAGAUCCGCUUAUGAUAAUCCAACAAAACGAUAACUGGAACAGAAAAGAAAACGACGGCCAAUCAAACCCCUGAGUGACUCCACAUUGUCUUUAAUUCUCCUCUAAUCAAAGAGCAGCACACAGUUGUGAGAGGUGGUCCGAGCCGGGGAGAUUAUGCAGAGAGUGACUCCAUUCAGAGAAAUUUUGGCAUGAUUCCUAACCUCUUAGCCUGAGGGAGAAUUUCUUAAAUUUUAUUUGUGGUUCUCACCUGAGAGAAUUGAUGCCUUCAAGAGAGCACCAGACAGAGGCUAAACAGACAUGCAAUAAAAUUAUCCUCCUUGGAUGGGUCAGGAGCUGGCUGAUAACUUACUCUAAGCCUACAUCAAUCAGGGAGCAGCAGGGGCAUCCACAGUCAAGGAGAGCUGAAGGUGGCAGGGCGUACAGCCGCAGAUCAUCUUAAAUAAAGAUAUAGAAGGCAGACUCUCAUAAAAGAAACCAUAAAUGAAACAAUGAAUAACGACUUCUGUUUAUCAUUCUCUAUUGUUUGCAACUUUCACAAUAAGCGUGUAUUGUUUUCUUAAAUAAAUAGCAAACAAUAAACUCAUAUUGAUAUGGCAUCAAUUUUCACUGAAUACCCUAAGAGGAAGCCAUGUUUUUCCUGCGUUUUGUAAAGCUUACAGGUGGAUUUCUUUUUUCUUUUCUUAAAAAGAGUACAUUCGGA